AUAAUGGGCUGUAAUGCCCCUUCCCCAGGCUGCACAGCCCCAGCUCUCAGCUGUAAUGCCCCUUCCCCAGGCUGCACAGCCCCAGCUCUCAGCUAUAAUGCCCCUUCCCCAGGCUGCACAGCCCCAGCUCUCAGCUAUAAUGCCCCUUCCCCAGGCUGCACAGCCCCAGCUCUCAGCCUGUCCCUGUUUUGGAGGUGCUCCGUCCUCUGCUCACCUCCGUGACGCACCAACAGCUCCGUGUCCUUCUGCUGCUGGGGGCUCAGACCUGGAUGCAGCGUUCCCGAUGGGGGCUCAGGAGAGCAGAGGGGCAGGACCCCCCCCCAUCCCCCCCCACCUCCCCCCAUCCCCCACCCUGCUGGCUGCACUGCUCCCGAAGCAAGGCAGGAUUUGGGCAGCCCUCUUUCACCGACCCACACCCCCAAACCCUCCUCACAGCCCUGCUGAAGCCGUGCUGCUUACCACCAACCACCCCAUCCUUCUUUUCCAUGACCCCUCAGGCCUUUUCCAUGACCCCCCUGUGUGCCCCACAGUCCCGCAGGCACAGAGGGGAAACCUCUGCUGUGCAGUUCUCCCCCCCCCCCCCAUUUUCCCCCUUCCUGGGAACGGGAGCUGUGUGUCCCCUUUUCCA
ensembl:lncRNA